rnacentral:rRNA from 1 species
CGCAACCCUUGUCCUUAGUUACCAGCACGUUAUGUGGCACUCUAAGGAGACUGCCGGUGCAAACCGAGGAAGUGGGGAUGACGUCAAGUCAUCAUGGCCUUACGGCCUGGGCUACACACGUGCUACAAUGGUCGGUACAAAGGGUUGCCAAGCCGCGAGGUGGAGCUAAUCCCAUAAAACCGAUCGUAGUCCGGAUCGCAGUCUGCAACUCGACUGCGUGAAGUCGGAAUCGCUAGUAAUCGUGAAUCAGAAUGUCACGGUGAAUACGUUCCCGGGCCUU